GCGCUCACUUUGGCAGCACACAUACUAAAAUUAGAACCAUACAGAGAAGAUUAGCAUGGCCCCUGCGAAAGGAUGACAUGCAAAUUCGCGAAGUGUUCUACAUUUUU